GCCGCCGGGAGCGGAGCCGGCAGCCCCCUGUGGCCGCCCCCGGGGCUCCGCUGUCACGGCUCAGCCCCGGCCAUGCGGACCUUUGGAAGCCGAGCCCAGCCAGAGCUGCGGGGCCGCCUCCAGCCCGCAGCUGCUCCGCACGCAGCCGGGAGAGCGCGGCGGUCGCCAAGGAAACCGGAGAUUGCCGCAGCGAUUGCCAGCCCGGCUGCUGCCGCUCCGGCGGGGCCGGGGAUGAGCUUGGAGUGCCUCUCCAGGGCUCUCCUUGAGACGGGGACACCGCUCCAGCCGCGGGGGGACGGCGCUUUUCCGUCUCCUGCGGCCCCGGCGCUCAGCGCUUGGCCCCGCACGCACAGCGAGGGCUCUGGAGGAGCUCUCGGCGCUCACGGAGCUCCAGGGGCCGCCGGGCAGGGCCCCGUGCCCGGGGAUUGACACCGGAGAGGGGCAGGGACACGGCGGUGCCGCGGUGAGGGCGUGGGGUCACACCUGGAGCUGGUCACACCUGGAGCUGGUCACACCUGGAGCUGGUCACACCCGGAGUCCCGUGUCCCAGGGAACUGGGAGAGGUGCGGGGACAGGUGGAACCUCACAGCAGCCCUGCAGCGCUCUCGUCCACAGAGCCUCGCCACGGAACCAUGGAAAGGUCUGGCUCGGAAGGGACCUUGGAGGCCGUUCAGUGGCAUCAUGCCCGUGGCCUCUGUGGCAGCUCCACGUCCCCCUGGGGCACCUCUGCAGGUGGGGCCAGGGGACAAUCCCCUCGUGGACAAGGAGCAGCCGGGACACCGAGCCUCGGCCCGGCUCCUCGCAGCUCCUGGGGCAGCUUCAGUGUCCCUGAGCACCACCGGGGCCACCAGGGCCAGCUCCUGCUCGGGACACAGACCAUUCCCCAGGAUCCGCCCUGGUGAUGGGGAAAACCUCUUCUGCCAGAGGGGCUGGAAAAGCUGCGCGGGGAAACACCUGCAGAGCACGCGCGGCCUCGGGGAUCCCACAGGACCAUGGAGCGCUGAGGCUGGAAAAGCCCUCUGAGAUCGCGGAGCCAAAUCGUUCUCCCAGCACUGCCCCGUGUCCCCAGGGGCCACAUCUGCGCUUUUUCCCAGCUUUUCCAUCUCCAUCCCAACCAAAGCCCCCGUGGAGCUGCUCCCAGGGCUGGCUGGGCUCUGCUCGCUCCUGCAGCGCCCCAACCCCACCCCAAAAGUCCCUCACCGUGUUUAUUCCCGCUUUGGCUCCAGCGGGGAAGCGGCAGAGGCAGAAUCCUCGAGCACAGCGAGUUCUCAGCGAUAUAAUUCUCUUUAAUCUUUUAAGCAUUUGACAGUAUUUGCUUGAAAGAAGAAGCAACAAGUACAUAAUUAUUGCACUAAUUAAGCUGCCAAAACACAAGCAUGCUGCAAGAGCACCUUUGAAACAGUGAGCUCUCGAUUCAUUAGCAUCUGCUGUAAGCUUAUUAAUCACCUAACAGGCAAUUAGCAAGCUGUUACUGUUUGAGACUAGUAUGUAAAUAAAUUCUUGGGUUAAUUUCUUCCUCUGAUAAUAAAGAAAACAUUAUGAAAAUUA